rnacentral:rRNA from 1 species
GAUGAACGCUGGCGGCGUGCCUAAUACAUGCAAGUCGAGCGAACAGAUGAGGAGCUUGCUCCUCUGACGUUAGCGGCGGACGGGUGAGUAACACGUGGAUAACCUACCUAUAAGACUGGGAUAACUUCGGGAAACCGGAGCUAAUACCGGAUAAUAUAUUGAACCGCAUGGUUCAAUAGUGAAAGACGGUUUUGCUGUCACUUAUAGAUGGAUCCGCGCCGCAUUAGCUAGUUGGUAAGGUAACGGCUUACCAAGGCAACGAUGCGUAGCCGACCUGAGAGGGUGAUCGGCCACACUGGAACUGAGACACGGUCCAGACUCCUACGGGAGGCAGCAGUAGGGAAUCUUCCGCAAUAGGCGAAAGCCUGACGGAGCAACGCCGCGUGAGUGAUGAAGGUCUUCGGAUCGUAAAGCUCUGUUAUUAGGGAAGAACAAAUGUGUAAGUAACUAUGCACGUCUUGACGGUACCUAAUCAGAAAGCCACGGCUAACUACGUG